rnacentral:rRNA from 1 species
UACGGAGGGUGCGAGCGUUGUCCGGAAUUACUGGGCGUAAAGCGUGCGUAGGUGGUGAGUUAAGUCUGAUGUGAAAUCCCCGGGCUCAACCUGGGAAUGGCAUUGGAUACUGGCUCGCUAGAGUGCGGUAGAGGGUGGUGGAAUUCCCGGUGUAGCAGUGAAAUGCGUAGAGAUCGGGAGGAACAUCUGUGGCGAAGGCGGCCACCUGGACCAACACUGACACUGAGGCACGAAAGCGUGGGGAGCAAACAGG